ensembl:lncRNA
GGCUCAAAACACUUUUAUCGCAAUGCACGAUUUGUAAACUAAUACACUUGUCAUUUGCAUCACAUAGUCAGAUAUAUGACUUUCCUGACAGAAAACUUGCUUGGUCGCUCACCUGUUACAGCAUUACACUUGGAGUGCUUGUUUAGGUUAAGUGUAGGGUUUAGUGUAGGUGGUAUUUUAUUUUCAUAUAGCUUUAACCUGUUAGUGCCACUCAUUGUAGAUUUCAUUUUUGAACUGCUGAGCUAUGUGUACAACUGGCGUAAUAAAAUAUCGCCAGAUUCACAUUCAUUUGUUUCAGCGAAUACAUGCUUUUAGCACUACUCACUGGACAUUUCACUUCGAAAGUGGCAUGAAACAGGUAAGAAGCAACAUAAUAUCAUUUUGCAAAAAUGUUGCAUGUUUUUACAGUAAGCCGAGGUUGCAGUUGUCACAGCACAAACUACAAUGAAAAACUGUUUUGAAUGUAUCCACUUGGAAUAUUGUUUUCAAAAAGCUCAGUUUUCCCUGAAUAAAAACAGUCUCAGUAUGGACCAAAGGGUGCAUAAGAUGUGUUUUCAGAUUUAUUUGUAUUAAUGUGAAUACAGCUUAAGAAACAAAAGGGCUUUGAAUACAAGACUAAAUGGGUUAACAAGACUAAUUAACAAAAUAUCUGGAAACAAUCCAGGGAUACAGAGAAAGCUAGAUGCUAGCAUCCCCAUUUAUUUUAAUGGCAAGUGCUGGACUUGUGUGUUUAAGUCUCCUGAGCUAUGAAGAAAUUAAACAAAUAUAUACUGUUUAUGCUCAGAGUUCCAGAAAAGAAGCUCUUGAAAGGAAAUAUCUGUUCACCAGUCCAUUAUUAAAAGAAAUAAAAAAAAUAAAAUAAACCACUUCCGAGGUUCGCAAGAGCCCACCAUGAUUUCCCACAUCACUUUUGAGAAAAUAUGAGAUGAGGAUAAACUUGCUCAAGCAAGCACAGCACCAGACAGCAUGGUCUGAGGGGAGACCAUGGUUCGAGCUGCUGAAGAGCUCAGAAGUCAAUUGGAUCAAUUUUAUUAAUUUUAAUUUUUUUUUAUUUUUUUACCAGAAACUAUCAGGUUAGCAGUCAGUCACCUGAGGCUGAAUAACAAAGAAAGAUGGAAAUAUCAAUAAAAUAUGUUUGGUUCCAUAAGCCUGUGGGUGAUUCAGGUACAUGCAGAGCAAGUGCUGUCAGAGGAGGAAAAAAUUAAAUAAUAAUUACAUAAGUACAUUGAUGUUAUACUGUAAUACACAGACGUAUGCUGCUAGGCUGAAGUUUCUUGUAGGUUAUUUAUUCUUUCAAAAGUCGCCAUGUUACUUCCAGCAAAUCCAUACCGUAAAAAUAUUUACUAGUGUAACUCAAACAAGUUCCUGGGUCCCCCUAACAUUUAACUUUUAGCAUGUCUCCUCUGUCUGACACACCUAUUUCAGGUAUUAUAGUGUCUACUAACAACCUGAGGUUUGUUGGACAUGCAAAAUGUGCAGUGUUAGGGGGCUCCAAGAAUGGAACAUGGUUGGAGCCACUAGUCUUACUUGAACUGCACCAAGUAGGAUUUGAUCCCCACAGCAUCAACUGGCAUGAGAGGUAGGCAAGCUAACAAGGAUGCAGCUUCUAAAGCAAGGUGCCAAAUCUGGAGAUCUGCAGUCUUGCAAAGUUCAGCUCCAACCCACUGAACACAACUGAACCAGCUAAUUAAUCUCUUCAGUAACACUUGAUUAUAGACAACUCUGUUGGAGCAGGGUUGGACCUGAUAUCUGCAGGUAGGUAAAUCUCCAGGAACAGGAUUGGCACCCCUGCUGCAGAGCAACUUUUAAGACCAGGGGAAUGAGAGUUACCUGCACAGGCCUUGCUAGCUGGCCUCCAUUUCACUCACCC